rnacentral:rRNA from 1 species
GCCGCGUGUGUGAAGAAGGUUUUCGGAUUGUAAAGCACUUUAAGUUGGGAGGAAGGGCAGUCAGUUAAUACCUUGCUGUCUUGACGUUACCAACAGAAUAAGCACCGGCUAACUUCGUGCCAGCAGCCGCGGUAAUACGAAGGGUGCAAGCGUUAAUCGGAAUUACUGGGCGUAAAGCGCGCGUAGGUGGUUCAGCAAGUUGGAUGUGAAAGCCCCGGGCUCAACCUGGGAACUGCAUCCAAAACUACUGAGCUAGAGUACGGUAGAGGGUGGUGGAAUUUCCUGUGUAGCGGUGAAAUGCGUAGAUAUAGGAAGGAACACCAGUGGCGAAGGCGACCACCUGGACUGAUACUGACACUGAGGUGCGAAAGCGUGGGGAGCAAAC